rnacentral:lncRNA from 1 species
CAAGGUCUUAUUAAAUUGAAACACAAAAUAUUCUCUCCAAUUUUUUAGAGUGGUCAACUCCAUCUUGAUUCACUCACCGACUUCACAAGUACUUGACUGUGCCCAAAAAAUUUUUUGAUCCUAAAUUAAAAAUUCAGAUAGUCCGAUACUAAAGCAUAGUGAGUUGCUUGCAAGUCACCAUGGUGAUCUCAGAUCGGAGGAAUAC